AACCUUUACAAUGCACGAAAGUGUGAUAAGGGGAUUCUACGUGCAAGCUAUGCUUGCUUUUCUCAAGUUUAAACCACUUGGGGAAUAAGGGCUGGGCAAGACCCGUGCCAGCCGCCGCGGUAAUACGGGCAGCUCUAGUGGCGUUCGCGAAUAUUGGGCCUAAAGCGUACGUAGCCUGUUAAAUAAGUUCUUGGUGAAAGCUCGCGACUUAAUCGUGAGAAUGGCCAUGAAAACUGUUUGACUUGGGACCGGAAGAGGUCGGAGGUAUUUCUUGGGUAGGGGUAAAAUCCUGUAAUCCUUGAAGGACCAUCGGUGGCGAAGGCGUCCGACUGGGACGGGUCCGACGGUGAGGUACGAAAGCUAGGGGAGCGACCCGGAUUAGAUACCCGGUUAGUCCUAGCCGUAAAUGAUGUCUGUUUGGUAUUGCACUCCUUACGAGGGAUUGCAGUGCCGUAGGGAAGCCGUUAAACAGACCGCCUGGGGAGUACGCCGCAAGGC
rnacentral:rRNA from 1 species